GACAGAGGAUGCAAGCGUUAUCCGGAAUUAUUGGGCGUAAAGCGUCUGUAGGUGGCUUUUUAAGUCUGCCGUCAAAUCCCAGGGCUUAACCCUGGACAGGCGGUGGAAACUACCAAGCUGGAGUACGGUAGGGGCAGGGGGAAUUUCCGGUGGAGCGGUGAAAUGCGUAGAGAUCGGAAAGAACACCAACGGCGAAAGCACUCUGCUGGGCCGACACUGACACUGAGACGCGAAAGCGUGGGGAGCGAACAGG
rnacentral:rRNA from 1 species